rnacentral:rRNA from 1 species
UUAGGAAUUUUGGGCAAUGGGCGCAAGCCUGACCCAGCAACGCCGCGUGGGCGACGAAGCCCUUCGGGGUGUAAAGCCCUUUUCCGAAGGACGAUUCUGACGGUACUUCGGGAAGAAGCCCCGGCUAACUACGUGCCAGCAGCCGCGGUAAUACGUAGGGGGCGAGCGUUGUCCGGAUUCAUUGGGCGUAAAGCGCGCGCAGGCGGCUCCGAGAGCCCGGCGUGAAAGCCCCCGGCUCAACCGGGGGAGGUCGUCGGGGACCUCGGGGCUGGAGGCCGGCAGGGGCGAGCGGAAUUCCCGGUGUAGUGGUGGAAUGCGUAGAGAUCGGGAGGAACACCAGUGGCGAAGGCGGCUCGCUGGGCCGGUCCUGACGCUCAGGCGCGAAAGCGUGGGGAGCGAUCCG